UCUGGCUCAGGACGAACGCUGGCGGCGUGCCUAAUACAUGCAAGUCGAACGCUUUUUCUUUCACCGGAGCUUGCUCCACCGAAAGAAAAAGAGUGGCGAACGGGUGAGUAACACGUGGGUAACCUGCCCAUCAGAAGGGGAUAACACUUGGAAACAGGUGCUAAUACCGUAUAACACUAUUUUCCGCAUGGAAGAAAGUUGAAAGGCGCUUUUGCGUCACUGAUGGAUGGACCCGCGGUGCAUUAGCUAGUUGGUGAGGUAACGGCUCACCAAGGCAACGAUGCAUAGCCGACCUGAGAGGGUGAUCGGCCACACUGGGACUGAGACACGGCCCAGACUCCUACGGGAGGCAGCAGUAGGGAAUCUUCGGCAAUGGACGAAAGUCUGACCGAGCAACGCCGCGUGAGUGAAGAAGGUUUUCGGAUCGUAAAACUCUGUUGUUAGAGAAGAACAAGGAUGAGAGUAAAACGUUCAUCCCUUGACGGUAUCUAACCAGAAAGCCACGGCUAACUACGUGCCAGCAGCCGCGGUAAUACGUAGGUGGCAAGCGUUGUCCGGAUUUAUUGGGCGUAAAGCGAGCGCAGGCGGUUUCUUAAGUCUGAUGUGAAAGCCCCCGGCUCAACCGGGGAGGGUCAUUGGAAACUGGGAGACUUGAGUGCAGAAGAGGAGAGUGGAAUUCCAUGUGUAGCGGUGAAAUGCGUAGAUAUAUGGAGGAACACCAGUGGCGAAGGCGGCUCUCUGGUCUGUAACUGACGCUGAGGCUCGAAAGCGUGGGGAGCGAACAGGAUUAGAUACCCUGGGUAGU
rnacentral:rRNA from 1 species